rnacentral:rRNA from 1 species
AACGAACGCUUGCGGCGCGCCUAAUACAUGCAAGUCGAACGAGAAAGGUCCUUCGGGAACGAGUAAAGUGGCGGACGGGUGAGGAACGCGUGGAUAACCUGCCCUUCAGCGGGGGAUAACUACUCGAAAGAGUAGCUAAUACCGCAUAAGACUACGAUAUCCGAGGAUAAUGUAGUUAAAGGCUUCGGCCACUGAAGGAUGGGUCCGCGUCCGAUUAGUUUGUUGGUGGGGUAACGGCCUACCAAGACUACGAUCGGUAGCUGGUCUCAGAGGAUGAUCAGCCACACUGGAACUGAGACACGGUCCAGACUCCUACGGGAGGCAGCAGUAGGGAAUAUUGCACAAUGGAGGAAACUCUGAUGCAGCGACGCCGCGUGAGCGAUGAAGGCCUUCGGGUUGUAAAGCUCUGUGAUAGGGGAAGAUAAUGACGGUACCCUAUCAGAAAGGACCGGCUAACUUCGUGCCAGCCGCCGCCGUAACAC